UACAGAGGGUGCGAGCGUUAAUCGGAAUUACUGGGCGUAAAGCGCGCGUAGGCGGCUUCUUAAGUCUGAGGUGAAAGGUUCAACGCUCAACGUGAACAGUGCCUUGGAUACUGGGAGGCUUGAGUAUGGGAGAGGGCAGUGGAAUGGCUGGUGUAGCGGUGAAAUGCGUAGAUAUCAGGAGGAACACCUGCGGUGUAGACAGCUUUCUGGACCAUCACUGACGCUGAGACACGAAAGCGUGGGUAGCAAACAGG
rnacentral:rRNA from 1 species